rnacentral:rRNA from 1 species
GUGCUUGGGCGAGAGUAGUACUAGGAUGGGUGACCCCCUGGGAAGUCCUCGUGUUGCACCCCCUCUUUUU